AUUGAACGCUGGCGGCAUGCCUUACACAUGCAAGUCGAACGGCAGCACGGGUGCUUGCACCUGGUGGCGAGUGGCGAACGGGUGAGUAAUACAUCGGAACGUACCUUAUCGUGGGGGAUAACGCAGCGAAAGCUGUGCUAAUACCGUAUACGCCCUGAGGGGGAAAGCGGGGGAGCGAAAGACCUCGCGCGAUUAGAGCGGCCGAUGCCUGAUUAGCUUGUUGGUGGGGUAAAAGCCCACCAAGGCGACGAUCAGUAGCUGGUCUGAGAGGACGAUCAGCCACACCGGGACUGAGACACGGCCCAGACUCCUACGGGAGGCAGCAGUGGGGAAUUUUGGACAAUGGGGGCAACCCUGAUCCAGCAAUGCCGCGUGAGUGAAGAAGGCCUUCGGGUUGUAAAGCUCUUUUGUCAGGGAAGAAACACCGGCUCUAACACAGUCCGGGAAUGACGGUACCUGAAGAAUAAGCACCGGCUAACUACGUGCCAGCCGCCGCAGUAA
rnacentral:rRNA from 1 species